AGUGAACGCUGGCGGUAGGCCUGACACAUGCAAGUCGAACGGCAGCACAGUAAGAGCUUGCUCUUACGGGUGGCGAGUGGCGGACGGGUGAGGAAUACAUCGGAAUCUACUUUUUCGUGGGGGAUAACGUAGGGAAACUUACGCUAAUACCGCAUACGACCUACGGGUGAAAGCAGGGGAUCUUCGGACCUUGCGCGAUUGAAUGAGCCGAUGUCGGAUUAGCUAGUUGGCGGGGUAAAGGCCCACCAAGGCGACGAUCCGUAGCUGGUCUGAGAGGAUGAUCAGCCACACUGGAACUGAGGCACGGUCCAGACUCCUACGGGAGGCAGCAGUGGGGAAUAUUGGACAAUGGGCGCAAGCCUGAUCCAGCCAUACCGCGUGGGUGAAGAAGGCCUUCGGGUUGUAAAGCCCUUUUGUUGGGAAAGAAAAGCAGCAGGUUAAUACCCCGCUGUUCUGACGGUACCCAAAGAAUAAGCACCGGCUAACUUCGUG
rnacentral:rRNA from 1 species